AGGCGGACUCCGCUCGCUCGAGAUGUCCCGACCCCGAGCCCCCACGUCUGUUCAGUAGCAGUUUUCUCCUCCAAAUCACCAACCGCCGCCGCGCUGCUCCCGCUCCCAAAUUCGUGACGGACGCUGGAUGCCCUGCGCCCCGUCCUAAACGCCGCGCUGCCAGUCGCUCCAACACUACCACCCGAUGCGACGACGCCCUCCCUGACUGGAGCGCCACCCUAAACCACGAAUGGCUUUGCAUCCCAAACGCCGCCGCCCGAGGACGCUGCCCUGCUCCUUAUGCAUCCCCGACAUCUGCUCAGCAUCCCCAAGGCCGCGCCGCCCGUCCCCCUGACCCGUCGCUGCCUGAAUCGUCGGAGUCGCUGUCGCGCACAUCGUUGGCGGCUUGCCCCAGUGUCGCCGUCUGCCCAAUCAUCGCCCGGACGCCGCAUUGUUGCCCUCCGCUACACCCGUCGAGGACACAGUUAAGGUCCUCCAACACGCCACCGUCCACGUCCCGUCGUCGUGCAGCAACAUACCGCAUUCCUACCGUCCUCUUCUGCGGACUCGCACUCUGCAGGUCGCCUCUGCCCCGGCUGCUACAACUACUGCUCUGUUGAUGUCUUACAGUUUUCAAACACACGGAUCGAUGGAACCUCGCUCUGGCUGCCAGUCUGAUGCCAUCUACAUAACCGUCCUGCCGCGAUGGCCAGCCGGCCAUCGUCACGAUCCUCCCAUCGACUGGUCCACAUAUGCAGCGACGAGGGCGCCGCCACAACCGUCGUCUGUGGUCAUCAUCUUCUUCACUCUUCAACUCUUUGGCAGGCUCGAUAGAAGGGUUAAUCGGAAAUGAACUUCUUUGAUGAAUGUGGUGAUGCUAACAGAUAAAUAAUUCAUGAAGUCAUUGCCAGAGGGAGUUUCAAUUUUGCUGGAUGAAUGUGUUUCCAUCGUGACGCCGCCGUAGAGUAAUAAGAACCAGCGAUGGGGAUAGAAGGAGGUGGAGAAGAUCAUAUAUCAAUGUUCGAAUCCUACUUUGUAGAGCAUUUCCAUCGAUGUCUGCGGCGGCAUAGCCACGAAGCAGGGAGCACGGAGCCGCCGUGGCCGAGUGCAUGUGUGUUGCGGCGCUAAGGUGGAGAAAGGAGACAUGCCAUAUACAAUGUUCCUUGGUUUCAGUUUCCUGAAUAUUUUACAGAAGAUACAGAUUAAUUUUCAGGGCAUCAGGUGGCCAUUGAAUCAAGCAACAGCCAGGGGGACAAAAAAAGCGAACCAAGCUGCUCAAUGAAGGAUGAUUUGCUCAGGGGAUAUUGUUGCAUGGUGGCAGGAUCAGUCAUUGAUUCCUAUUGUUCAUGUAUGUGUUUGCAUCAGAGGGCAGCGAUAUGCAUGCAUCCCUCUAUGCUUCUAUAUAAUCUUGGCAGACUUUUAUUAAAGAGGAUAUGAAAAAGCGUUCUGGAUGGUUGCAGAGAUUUCACAGAUGCUUUCAUCUUAGGGACUGCCAUGGUAUGAUGCUCUCACUUAGGAUCCCUCCAUGCUGAACCGCUAGCUUUCCAUAAUGGGUUUGCUCUGGCUUCAGGUUUUACACUAUGGCAUACUGGUAGUGGAGACACACCUGCAGGUGCUGGUGAAUCUGUGAACCUGAGAUGCAUUAAUGGAGAAGAGAUAUUACUGAUCACUAUAGGAACAAAAUGAUAUGUCGUUUAUAUGUACAAGAGUUGGAGGUAGAUCAUGUUACAUGGUAUCUCCGUUGCUAAAACAUGCAGAGAACUCUAUAGUUUCUGCAUAACCUCGACAAGAAUUGUGCGGACUGGUUUCUAGAGGAAGCACCAGGGCUCUGGGAAGCACACAUGAUAGUCAAGGAUGGUGGAAAAAAGAGAGACGGAGAAGAUGGAGAAAAGUAUGGCGAGGGAGUAAGGUAUGGAACACGACUUGGUAGUGUCAUUGUUGAAAACGGUAUAUGCAUCGUGUUCGACAUGUGAACUUUUGCCAAUUUUGGUUCGGUGGAUGACUUGACCUCUAUUUGCUUCUGCUAUUCUUAAUUGAUUUGUGCAGCAGGGAUUGUUUCAUCAUGUAAAUGACGAGUUACUACCUUUUGUCUAGAUUGGCAAGAAGAUCAGUCUUGCAUUAUUAUGGAUGUCAAACCAUCCAGUUACUGAGCUUGUGUUAAUCUAACUAAUUCUCUAUGACUAUUGUUAUCAUAUUUUUGUCUGCUAGAGGUUAACUAAUGGAUAUUUUGUUUCGUU